GCCAUAACGGGGUGCUACACAUGCAGUCGAACGGUGAAGCCAAGCUUGCUUGGUGGAUCAGUGGCGAACGGGUGAGUAACACGUGAGCAACCUGCCCUGGACUCUGGGAUAAGCGCUGGAAACGGCGUCUAAUACUGGAUAUGAGCUCCUUCCGCAUGGUGGGGGUUGGAAAGAUUUUUCGGUCUGGGAUGGGCUCGCGGCCUAUCAGCUUGUUGGUGAGGUAAUGGCUCACCAAGGCGUCGACGGGUAGCCGGCCUGAGAGGGUGACCGGCCACACUGGGACUGAGACACGGCCCAGACUCCUACGGGAGGCAGCAGUGGGGAAUAUUGCACAAUGGGCGGAAGCCUGAUGCAGCAACGCCGCGUGAGGGAUGACGGCCUUCGGGUUGUAAACCUCUUUUAGCAGGGAAGAAGCGAAAGUGACGGUACCUGCAGAAAAAGCGCCGGCUAACUACGUGCCAGCAGCCGCGGUAAUACGUAGGGCGCAAGCGUUAUCCGGAAUUAUUGGGCGUAAAGAGCUCGUAGGCGGUUUGUCGCGUCUGCUGUGAAAUCCCGAGGCUCAACCUCGGGCCUGCAGUGGGUACGGGCAGACUAGAGUGCGGUAGGGGAGAUUGGAAUUCCUGGUGUAGCGGUGGAAUGCGCAGAUAUCAGGAGGAACACCGAUGGCGAAGGCAGAUCUCUGGGCCGUAACUGACGCUGAGGAGCGAAAGGGUGGGGAGCAAACAGGCUUAGAUACCCUGGUAGUCCACCCCGUAAACGUUGGGAACUAGUUGUGGGGACCAUUCCACGGUUUCCGUGACGCAGCUAACGCAUUAAGUUCCCCGCCUGGGGAGUACGGCCGCAAGGCUAAAACUCAAAGGAAUUGACGGGGACCCGCACAAGCGGCGGAGCAUGCGGAUUAAUUCGAUGCAACGCGAAGAACCUUACCAAGGCUUGACAUAUACGAGAACGGGCCAGAAAUGGUCAACUCUUUGGACACUCGUAAACAGGUGGUGCAUGGUUGUCGUCAGCUCGUGUCGUGAGAUGUUGGGUUAAGUCCCGCAACGAGCGCAACCCUCGUUCUAUGUUGCCAGCACGUAAUGGUGGGAACUCAUGGGAUACUGCCGGGGUCAACUCGGAGGAAGGUGGGGAUGACGUCAAAUCAUCAUGCCCCUUAUGUCUUGGGCUUCACGCAUGCUACAAUGGCCGGUACAAAGGGCUGCAAUACCGUAAGGUGGAGCGAAUCCCAAAAAGCCGGUCCCAGUUCGGAUUGAGGUCUGCAACUCGACCUCAUGAAGUCGGAGUCGCUAGUAAUCGCAGAUCAGCAACGCUGCGGUGAAUACGUUCCCGGGUCUUGUACACACCGCCCGUCAAGUCAUGAAAGUCGGUAACACCUGAAGCCGGUUGCGCACAACCCUUGUGGAGGAGGCGUCGGAGUGAUCACCG
rnacentral:rRNA from 1 species